rnacentral:rRNA from 1 species
AUUGAACGCUGGCGGUAUGCCUAACACAUGCAAGUCGAACGGCAGCACAGUAAUAGCUUGCUCUUACGGUGGGCGACUGGCGGACGGUUGAUGGAUACAUCGGAAUCUACUUUUUGUUGGGGGCUAACGUAGGGAAACUUACGCUAAUACCGCAUACGACCUACGGGUGAAAGCAUCGGAUCUUCGGACCUUGCGCGAUUGAAUGAGCCGAUGUCGGAUUAGCUAGUUGGCGGGGUAAAGGCCCACCAAGGCGACGAUCCGUAGCUGGUCUGAGAGGAUGAUCAGCCACACUGGAACUGAGACACGGUCCAGACUCCUACGGGAGGCAGCAGUGGGGAAUAUUGGACAAUGGGCGCAAGCCUGAUCCAGCCAUACCGCGUGGGUGAAGAAGGCCUUCGGGUUGUAAAGCCCUUUUGGUGGGAAAGAAAAGCAGCAGGUUAAUACCCCGCUGUUCUGACGGUACCCAAAGAAGAAGCACCGGCUAACUUCGUG